CCUACGGGAGGCAGCAGUGGGGAAUAUUGCACAAUGGGGGAAACCCUGAUGCAGCGACGCCGCGUGAGUGAAGAAGUAAUUCGUUAUGUAAAGCUCUAUCAGCAGGGAAGAAAAUGACGGUACCUGAGUAAGAAGCCCCGGCUAACUACGGGCCAGCAGCCGGGGGAAGACGUAGGGGGCAGGGGUUAUUCGGAUUUACUGGGGGUAAAGGGGGCGUAGACGGCAGUGCAAGUCUGGAGUGAAAGGCGGGGGUUCAACCCCCGGACUGCCCUUGAAACUGUACGGCUGGAGUGCAGGAGAGGUAAGUGGAAUACCUAAGGUAGCGGUGAAAUGCGUAGAUAUUAGGAGGAACACCAGUGGCGAAGGCGGCUUACUGGACUGUAACUGACGUUGAUGCUCGAAAGCGUGGGGAGCAAACAGGAUUAGAUACCCCUGUAGUC
rnacentral:rRNA from 1 species